UUUUCUUGUGUAAAGUUUGUAUAUUCUUCCCCCGAAGGUUACUUGAAAUUAUUUUUCUAUCAUGGCAGAAAUACAUUUUGUCCAGAUAAGACUCAGUGGAGAUGGUGGUGGACCUUUGAGAAGGUGACUGAUGUUUCCUUCAUCUGGAUCAGACAGAGCUUUUUGAGGGAGGAUGUGCUCCUUGAAACCUUUUGAAGACCAAAAGGAAGCAUAUCAGAAAGAAGGGGAUAUAUG
rnacentral:lncRNA from 1 species